AACGAACGCUGGCGGCAUGCCUAACACAUGCAAGUCGAACGAGACCCUCGGGUCUAGUGGCGCACGGGUGCGUAACGCGUGGGAACCUGCCCUUAGGUUCGGAAUAACUCCCCGAAAGGGGUGCUAAUACCGGAUAAUGUCUUCGGACCAAAGAUUUAUCGCCUUUGGAUGGGCCCGCGUUGGAUUAGCUAGUUGGUAGGGUAAAAGCCUACCAAGGCGACGAUCCAUAGCUGGUCUGUGAGGAUGAUCAGCCACACUGGGACUGAGACACGGCCCAGACUCCUACGGGAGGCAGGAGUGGGGAAUAUUGGACAAUGGGCGAAAGGCUGAUCCAGCAAUGCCGGGUGAGUGAUGAAGGCCUUAGGGUUGUAAAGCUCUUUUACCCGGGAUGAUAAUGACAGUACCGGGAGAAUAAGCCCCGGCUAACUCCGUG
rnacentral:rRNA from 1 species